rnacentral:piRNA from 1 species
UCCGGCAUUGAGCAAGUUUAUUCGUGGUGA